rnacentral:rRNA from 1 species
GGGGGGGGGGGGCGGGGGGGGUGGGGGGGGGGGGGCGGGCGGGGGGGGGGGGGGAGGUGGCGCUUACGGGGGGCGGGGGGCGGACGGGGGAGGAAGACAUCGGAAUCUACUUUUUCGGGGGGGAUAACGUAGGGAAACUUACGCUAAUACCGCAUACGACCUACGGGUGAAAGCAGGGGAUCUUCGGACCUUGCACGAUUGAAUGAGCCGAUGUCGGAUUAGCUAGUUGGCGGGGUAAAGGCCCACCAAGGCGACGAUCCGUAGCUGGUCUGAGAGGAUGAUCAGCCACACUGGAACUGAGACACGGUCCAGACUCCUACGGGAGGCAGCAGUGGGGAAUAUUGGACAAUGGGCGCAAGCCUGAUCCAGCCAUACCGCGUGGGUGAAGAAGGCCUUCGGGUUGUAAAGCCCUUUUGUUGGGAAAGAAAAGCAGCAGGUUAAUACCCCGCUGUUCUGACGGUACCCAAAGAAUAAGCACCGGCUAACUUCGUG